rnacentral:rRNA from 1 species
GAUGAACGCUAGCGAUAGGCUUAACACAUGCAAGUCGAGGGGUAACGUGUUGGAAGCUUGCUUCCGAUGACGACGACCGGCGGAUGGGUGCGUAACGCGUAUGCAACUUGCCUCACAGCGGAGAAUAACCCGGAGAAAUCCGGACUAAUGCUCCAUACACUCUUAGGGACCCAUGUCCCUGAGAGGGAAGAUUUAUCGCUGUGAGAUAGGCAUGCGUCCUAUUAGGUAGUUGGUGAGGUAACGGCUCACCAAGCCGACGAUAGGUAGGGGUGCUGAGAGGCAGAUCCCCCACAUUGGGACUGAGACACGGCCCAAACUCCUACGGGAGGCAGCAGUGAGGAAUAUUUGGUCAUGGAGGAAACUCUGAAACAGCCAAGUCGCGUGAAGGAAGAAUGUCCCUAAGAUUGUAAACUUCUUUAGCGAGCGAGUAAGGACUUCCACGUGCUGGGAGUUUGAAAGUAGCUCGAGAAAUAGUAUCGGCUAACUCCGUGGCAACAGCCGCGGUAAUACGGAAGAUACGAGCCGUUUCCGGAUUUAUUGGGUUUAAAAGGGGGCCCAGGGGGUCCUGCAAGUCAGUGGUGAAAAGCUGAGGCUCAAUCUCAGCCUUGCCGUUGAAACUGCAAGACUUGAGAGUACAUGAUGUGGGCGGAAUGCGUAGUGUAGCGGUGAAAUGCAUAGAUAUUACGCAGAACUCCGAUUGCGAAGGCAGCUCACAAAGGUAUAUCUGACACUGAGGCACGAAAGCGUGGGGAGCAAACAGGAUUAGAUACCCUGGUAGUCCACGCCGUAAACGAUGAUUACUCGAAGUAUGCGAUAUGACAGUAUGCUUCCAAGCGAAAGUGAUAAGUAAUCCACCUGGGGAGUACGCCGGCAACGGUGAAACUCAAAGGAAUUGACGGGGGCCCGCACAAGCGGAGGAACAUGUGGUUUAAUUCGAUGAUACGCGAGGAACCUUACCCGGGAUUGAAAUGUAUGUGCACCUCUUGGGAAACCGAGAGGGUUCUCUUCGGAGACACAUAUGUAGGUGCUGCAUGGUUGUCGUCAGCUCGUGCCGUGAGGUGUCGGCUUAAGUGCCAUAACGAGCGCAACCCUUAUCGUCAGUUACUAACAGGUCAAGCUGAGGACUCUGGCGAGACUGCCGUCGUAAGGCGAGAGGAAGGUGGGGAUGACGUCAAAUCAGCACGGCCCUUACAUCCGGGGCGACACACGUGUUACAAUGGUAGGGACAGAGAGUAGCCACUCGGUGACGAGGAGCGGAUCUUGAAACCCUAUCUCAGUUCGGAUCGGAGUCUGCAACUCGACUCCGUGAAGCCGGAUUCGCUAGUAAUCGCGCAUCAGCCAUGGCGCGGUGAAUACGUUCCCGGGCCU